GAGAUCCCGGGCCUCCCCGCAGCCGCCGGCGCCGCGGCCAUGGUGCUGAACCCGGUGAUCGGGAAGCUGGUCAGCAAGAGGGUGGUGCUGGCCAGCGCCUCCCCCCGCCGGCAGGAGAUCCUCACCAACGUGGGUCUCCGAUUUGAGGUAGUUCCAUCCUGGUUUAAAGAGACACUUGAGAAGUCAUCUUUUGCAGCCCCUCAUGAGUAUGCCAUAGAAACAGCAAAGCAGAAGGCACUUGAAGUGGCAAAUAGAAUGCAUCUGAAACACCUUAGAACUCCAGAUAUUGUUAUAGGAGCAGACACUAUUGUGACUGUCGGAAAACAGAUUCUGGAGAAACCGGUUGAUAAACAAGAUGCAUAUAAGAUGCUGUCAAGGUUGAGUGGGAAGGAGCACAGUGUCUUUACGGGAGUAGCCAUUGUUCACUGCAGCAGUAAAGAUAAUCAUCUGGAGACUGAAGUCACUGAUUUCUAUGAAGAGACAAAAGUUAAAUUUGCUGAACUAUCUGAGGAGCUUUUAUGGGAAUAUAUUCACAGUGGAGAACCAAUGGACAAAGCUGGUGGUUAUGGAAUCCAGGCCCUUGGUGGAAUGUUAGUGGAAUAUGUUCAUGGAGACUUCUUGAACGUGGUGGGCUUUCCUCUGAAUCACUUCUGCAAAAAGUUAGCGGAGUUGUAUUAUCCACCCCUCAAACAUACCAUACAGCAUGUCAAGCAUGACUCUAUCCCCUCUGUCGAGACUUUUGAGAACCUCAGUGAUGGAGAGAGUGACUCUUCAAAUCCCGUGCAGCAUAAAAGUGCUAACAAAUUAGAGAGGAAUGGGGUGCCCCUCUCAGGAGCCAUUCAUACACCAGUAAAGAGUGGUAGCAUCAAGCCUGUUUGUACAGUGGCUGUGGAAAAUAAGAGUGGAGUGAUGGAAUAUCCAGCUAAAUUCCCAACAAAAAUUGUAGAACUUAUGGAUGGCUUCAGAGCUUCAAAGGCUUUGUUUGUGGCCUCUAAACUGAAAGUGUUUGAUCUUCUGAAAGAUAAAUGUAUACUGAAGGCUGUGGAUGUUGCCAAUAAGAUAGAAGCCUCUGUGUGUGGAACAGAAAGACUGCUCGAUGCUUGUGCUUCUCUUGGAUUGCUGGAGAAAACCCAUCAAGGUUACAGUAAUACAGAUUCAGCGAACACAUAUCUCGUGUCAGACAGAGAAUAUUCACUUCAUGGCUACAUUAUCCACUGUAAUGACCGCCUUUGGCAUCUCUUUACACACCUGGAGGCUGCUGUCAAAGAGGGGACCAUGCAGACCCAUCAGGCUUUUGGAAAGGAAACAGAGGACUUGUUUCAGGAUUCCUGUUAUCACAGUGUGGAGGCAAAGCAGCGUUUCAUGACUGCCAUGCAUAACAUUGCCAAAUUGACAGCAAGAGACGUGGCAACAGCUUUUGAUCUUUCACCGUUUAGAUCUGUCUGUGAUUUGGGAGGUUGCACUGGAGUUCUGGCCCAUGAACUAGUACAAAAAUACCCAAUCCUAAAGGUAACUGUAUUUGACCUUCCAGACGUCAUUGCAAAUGUCUCUUGCUUUCAGCCUUCAGGACAGCACAUAACUCCAGUGAUGUUCACAGCAGGUGACUUCUUCAAAGAUAAUCUUCCAGAAGCAGAUCUUUACAUCCUUUCACUAAUUCUACAUGACUUGAAUGAUGAAAAGAUUCACAUAUUGUUAAGCAAAAUAUCAGGUAUUUGCAAACCAGGAAGUGCCUUGCUACUGGCAGAAAUUGUGCUUGAUGAAGAGAAGACACACCCUCCUAGAGCAGUAUUACAGUCCCUCAGUAUGACUGAAGGCAAGCAGAGAAGUGGCUUGGAGUAUAAGCAACUACUGGAGAAAUAUGGAUUCACCAAUGUGCAAAUUAAGAUUACAGGAAACAUUUUAGAUGCGAUUUUGGGCUUUAAGAAAACUUCUGCACAUUAGUUUGCACUGCAAGUAAGUGUGGCACUGAGCUUUUGUAACCUAACUUUCAUACAACCAUCAACCAGCCAUAAUAUGGAUUGUUUUGUCACUGCAGCCUCUGUAGAGGCUGUCUUACAAGUGAAUUGGCCACCCACAUGCUCUCAAACUGAGAGCCUGAAUCAUACCACUCAAAUACAGCUGUUCUCGAGAGAAGAGUCCAUGUGGUAAAGGGAUAGAUGGUGACAUCCUCUUUCUGUCUUACAGUAACGCCUCACUUAAAGUCAUCCAGUUAACGUUUCAUUGUUACUUGCUGAUCAAUUUGAGAACAUGCUCGUUUAAAGUUGCGCAAUGCUCCCUUAUAAUGUCGUUUGGCAGCCGCCUGCUUUGUCCACUGCCUGCAGAAAGAGCAGCCC